GGCCCCUCGACCUGUGCUCGCUGCGAUUUCUCGUCGGAAACCUCACCGAAGUCGAAGGUAAGCCCCGGCCCUCCUUCCUCUCUUCCUUCCCCUCCUUCCCAUGGCUUCGUGCACCCUCGCCGGCCGUCGGGUUCGUCGGAAAAUCCACAAAGAGCCAAGAUCAUGUUUUGCUCUAUUCGGUUGAGCCAUCUCCCUCCCUUUUCCGGCCACCAGCGCCGCCGUCCAUGGCGCCGCACCCCU
rnacentral:lncRNA from 1 species